GACUGGCGGGUGCGUGGUGGGAGAGCGCCUAGCGCUCGCCGAUUCCUUGUUUCUCGGUACGCCAAUCCUGUCACGCGCCUGCCUAUA
rnacentral:antisense_RNA from 1 species